ACACUGGUGGUUCAGUGACAGAAUUCUCACCUUCUACGCCAGAGACCCAGGUUCAAUUCCCAGCCAUUGCA
rnacentral:tRNA from 1 species